UAUGCUUGUCUAAAAGAUUAAGCCAUGCAAGUGUAAGUAUAAAUAGACAAAUUAUUGUACUAUGAGACUGCGAAUGGCUCAUUAAAUCAGCAAUCAUUUAUUCGGUGGAUGAAGUAAUUCUAAAAUGGAUAACCGUGGGAAAUCUAGAGCUAAUACAUGCAAAAGAGAAUUCUUUGAAAAAGGAAUGCAUAUAUUAGAUACAAAUCCAAAAAUACAAAGGUGAAUCAUAAUAUUUAUAGCAAAUCAUAUAAGAAGGAGUGAUCUUUUCUUUGAUGAUAAACCGAUCAAAUUUCUGCCCUAUCAUACUUUGGACGGUAAUGUAGUGGAUUACGGUGGUGAUGACGGGUAACGGAGAAUUAGGUUUGAUUCCGGAGAGGGAGCAUGAGAAAUGGCUACCACUUCCAAGGAA
rnacentral:rRNA from 1 species